rnacentral:rRNA from 1 species
CCCCUAGAUGUCCUGGGCCGCACGCGCAAUACAAUGUAAAGUUCAGAAAGCAUAUCCUGUUCCGGGAGGCAAUGGGUAAUCUUUUCAAUAUUUUACGUGUUAGGGAUCGAUCUUUGCAAUUAUAGAUCUUGAACGAGGAAUACCUAGUAAGUGCAGCUCAUCAGGCUGUACUGAUUACGUCCCUGCCCUUUGUACACACCGCCCGUCGCUCCUACCGAUUUCGAGUGGUCCGGUGAAUCUUUUGGAAUUAGAGUGCAAACUCAAACUAAGAUCGAUAAACCUUAUCACUUAGAGGAAGGAGAAGUCGUAACA